rnacentral:rRNA from 1 species
CAGAAGCGUAUAUUAAUGUUGUUGCAGUUAAAACGCUCGUAGUUGGAUCUUGGAAGUAGGUUUGAGCUCUGUCCGUCUGAAGACGAGUACGGACUCUCCGCUUCUGUAUUUGGCGCUAAUGCACAUGGGCUCUUAAUUGAGUUCCAUGUUUGCCGGAGGGUUAAUAGCCCGAGGGCAAGGUCGGCCCGUGGGUGGUGCGGUCAGUGGGUGAAAGCCUGCUGGGCGACGCCGGCGGGAGGGCAGUGUUUCGCCUCAUUUACUUUGAAAAAAAUAGAGUGCUCAAAGCAGACCUUAGGGUCAUUGAAUAAUUCAGCAUGGGAUAAUAGAACAUGAGAUUGAAUUCAUCUUGUUGGUAUUAUGAAUUUAAACUAAUGAUUAAAAGGGACCGUCGGGGUGGUUUGUAUUGAGAAGCUAGAGGUGAAAUUCUUGGAUUUUCUCAAGACAAACAACUGCGAAAGCAAUCUACUAGGAGGUUCCCAUUAA